rnacentral:rRNA from 1 species
UGCCUUAGUAACGGCGAGUGAAGCGGCAACAGCUCAAAUUUGAAAGCUGGCCCUUUCAGGGUCCGCGUUGUAAUUUGUAGAGGAUGAUUCGGCGAGGGCUCCCGCCUAAGUCCCCUGGAACGGGGCGUCAUAGAGGGUGAGAAUCCCGUAUGCGGUGGGCUGCCUUAGCCAUGUGAAUCUCCUUCGACGAGUCGAGUUGUUUGGGAAUGCAGCUCUAAAUGGGAGGUAAAUUUCUUCUAAAGCUAAAUACCGGCCAGAGACCGAUAGCGCACAAGUAGAGUGAUCGAAAGAUGAAAAGCACUUUGGAAAGAGAGUUAAAAAGUACGUGAAAUUGUUGAAAGGGAAGCGCUUGCAACCAGACUUGUCCGCAGUUGCUCAGCCGGUCUCCUGACCGGCGUACUCUUCUGCGGCCAGGCCAGCAUCAGUUCGGGCGGUCGGAUAAAGACCUCGGGAAUGUGGCUCCUCUCGGGGAGUGUUAUAGCCCGGGGUGGAAUGCGGCCAGCCUGGACUGAGGAUCUCGCUUCGGCAAGGAUGCUGGCGUAAUGGUUGUAAGCGGCCCGUCUUGAAACACGGACCAAGGAGUCUAACAUCUAUGCGAGUGUUUGGGUGGAAA